rnacentral:other from 1 species
UAUUCCCUGCAGCGCUCGAAGCACUCUGGGUUUUUUCUUGAGCCUAAUUCUUAACCCCGGGAACGUUCCGGCCCGCGAUGUGCGCAGGUCCGCUCCGCGCGGAAAGCCUUAUUCGCGGCUUACCGUUCCCACCUGAACCAACGGUUCAAGGGCGAAAGUGUGUUACGGCGCAGGCGGGGAAUAC